rnacentral:lncRNA from 1 species
CCUAACCUUUCCAACCAUUGCAUCUGAGACCCUUUUGGCUGAUUUCCAUCCAUUUUUCCAUCAGUUGACCACCAAAAUUGAGUUUGACCAUAUUUUAAUCAACUAAAAGGGGGCAAAAUGGUAAUUUUUCAUUUACCACAUUAAACAAAUAAAAAAAUUAAAUAAAAAACUUAAAAAUAAAUAAAAGAAAAAUAAAAGUCUCUCUUCCCCACCCCACCCCAAAAACCAAAAUCACACAGCUGUCCUCAACCAUUGCCGUCAAUGUCGACACCUACACCGCAAACUGCCGACGAUGCCCUUUCCGCCUACACCCAUGCUGGCCGCAACGCCCCUUCCGGCUAACACCAUGCCGACAACCACAAAUGACUCCUCUCGAGCCUAUCUCAUUUCAAUUUGAUGCAUCCCCCUUACUUCAAGCAAUGAAUUCAACCGAAAAAAAAUGCAAUUCAGGUCCUAACAACUCUGGAAAAUACACAAUUGAUUUCCCAAUUCGCGACCCACACACGAAUUCAAAUAAUCCCACUAGGCCUGAAUCCAGCAUUUGAAGUUUGAUAACGCACAAACAUCUCAUCAAUUUUUCACUCAAAACCAAAUUCGAAUAUUGCAGAGAUUUGAGGCUGCAAGAAAAAGGGAGGGAGAGCCGAAUGAACAUGAGGACUUUGAUGAGAGGGUGGAAUUUGGGCUAGGAUUUGAAGUUGAAAUCGUGCCAAUCUCCGUUGGGUUGACAAGCCGAGUUCCGUUGGGUUGCGUUGAGAAGCCGAUUUGAAGUUGCAAUCUUUGAAAUCGUCGCGAGCUCUGGGUUGAGAAGCCAAUUUGCGUUGGAGCCAGUGAUGGAGAAGAUCGAGUGGAUUUUCUAGCUACG